rnacentral:rRNA from 1 species
ACGGGUGAGUAAUAUAUCGGAACGUGCCCAGUCGUGGGGGAUAACUGUUCGAAAGAACAGCUAAUACCGCAUACGACCUGAGGGUGAAAGCGGGGGAUCGCAAGACCUCGCGCGAUUGGAGCGGCCGAUAUCAGAUUAGGUAGUUGGUGGGGUAAAAGCCCACCAAGCCAACGAUCUGUAGCUGGUCUGAGAGGACGACCAGCCACACUGGGACUGAGACACGGCCCAGACUCCUACGGGAGGCAGCAGUGGGGAAUUUUGGACAAUGGGCGCAAGCCUGAUCCAGCCAUGCCGCGUGCGGGAAGAAGGCCUUCGGGUUGUAAACCGCUUUUGUCAGGGAAGAAAAGGUUCUGGUUAAUACCUGGGACUCAUGACGGUACCUGAAGAAUAAGCACCGGCUAACUACGUGCCAGCAGCCGCGGUAAUACGUAGGGUGCAAGCGUUAAUCGGAAUUACUGGGCGUAAAGCGUGCGCAGGCGGUUAUGCAAGACAGAGGUGAAAUCCCCGGGCUCAACCUGGGAACUGCCUUUGUGACUGCAUAGCUAGAGUACGGUAGAGGGGGAUGGAAUUCCGCGUGUAGCAGUGAAAUG